rnacentral:tRNA from 5 species
CGCGGGGUAGUGUAGCCCGGUCAACAUUCUUGGCUCAUAACCAAGAGAUCGCACGUUCGAAUCGUGUCCCCGCUCCCA